AUUGAACGCUGGCGGCAGGCCUAACACAUGCAAGUCGAGCGGAUGAAGGGAGCUUGCUCCUGGAUUCAGCGGCGGACGGGUGAGUAAUGCCUAGGAAUCUGCCUGGUAGUGGGGGAUAACGUCCGGAAACGGGCGCUAAUACCGCAUACAUCCUGAGGGAGAAAGUGGGGGAUCUUCGGACCUCACGCUAUCAGAUGAGCCUAGGUCGGAUUAGCUAGUUGGUGGGGUAAAGGCCUACCAAGGCGACGAUCCGCAACUGGUCUGAGAGGAUGAUCAGUCACACUGGAACUGAGACACGGUCCAGACUCCUACGGGAGGCAGCAGUGGGGAAUAUUGGACAAUGGGCGAAAGCCUGAUCCAGCCAUGCCGCGUGUGUGAAGAAGGUCUUCGGAUUGUAAAGCACUUUAAGUUGGGAGGAAGGGCAGUAAGUUAAUACCUUGCUGUUUUGACGUUACCAACAGAAUAAGCACCGGCUAACUUCGUG
rnacentral:rRNA from 1 species